UACGUAGGGUGCAAGCGUUGUCCGGAAUUAUUGGGCGUAAAGAGCUCGUAGGCGGUUUGUCGCGUCUGCUGUGAAAACCCGAGGCUCAACCUCGGGCCUGCAGUGGGUACGGGCAGACUAGAGUGCGGUAGGGGAGAUUGGAAUUCCUGGUGUAGCGGCGGAAUGCGCAGAUAUCAGGAGGAACACCAAUGGCGAAGGCAGAUCUCUGGGCCGUAACUGACGCUGAGGAGCGAAAGCAUGGGGAGCGAACAGG
rnacentral:rRNA from 1 species